rnacentral:tRNA from 1 species
AGCCCUGAGGUGUAAUGACAUAUCAGAUUGCAAAUCUGAAGGAGCGAAUAAACGUUUGCCGGGGCUU